rnacentral:rRNA from 1 species
AUUGAACGCUGGCGGCAUGCCUUACACAUGCAAGUCGAACGGCAGCACGGGAGCAAUCCUGGUGGCGAGUGGCGAACGGGUGAGUAAUGUAUCGGAACGUGCCCAGUCGUGGGGGAUAACGUAGCGAAAGCUACGCUAAUACCGCAUACGAUCUAUGGAUGAAAGCGGGGGACCGUAAGGCCUCGCGCGAUUGGAGCGGCCGAUGUCAGAUUAGGUAGUUGGUGGGGUAAAGGCUCACCAAGCCAACGAUCUGUAGCUGGUCUGAGAGGACGACCAGCCACACUGGGACUGAGACACGGCCCAGACUCCUACGGGAGGCAGCAGUGGGGAAUUUUGGACAAUGGGCGCAAGCCUGAUCCAGCAAUGCCGCGUGCAGGAAGAAGGCCUUCGGGUUGUAAACUGCUUUUGUACGGAGCGAAAAGGCUCCCUCUAAUACAGGGGGCUCAUGACGGUACCGUAAGAAUAAGCACCGGCUAACUACGUGCCAGCAGCCGCCGUAAUAC